rnacentral:rRNA from 1 species
GGUUAUCACGGGAGACACACGGCGGGUGCUAACGUCCGUCGUGAAGAGGGAAACAACCCAGACCGCCAGCUAAGGUCCCAAAGUCAUGGUUAAGUGGGAAACGAUGUGGGAAGGCCCAGACAGCCAGGAUGUUGGCUUAGAAGCAGCCAUCAUUUAAAGAAAGCGUAAUAGCUCACUGGUCGAGUCGGCCUGCGCGGAAGAUGUAACGGGGCUAAACCAUGCACCGAAGCUGCGGCAGCGAACGUAUCACUUAAAGCGAUUCAGCGGGUUACGAUUGACGGAGCGAAGCGACGUCAAAGCGUAUACAAAGUCGAGUCGGUUUAAGGAUACGUUCGUUGGGUAGGGGAGCGUUCUGUAAGCCUGUGAAGGUGGCCUGUGAGGGUUGCUGGAGGUAUCAGAAGUGCGAAUGCUGACAUAAGUAACGAUAAAGCGGGUGAAAAGCCCGCUCGCCGGAAGACCAAGGGUUCCUGUCCAACGUUAAUCGGGGCAGGGUGAGUCGACCCCUAAGGCGAGGCCGAAAGGCGUAGUCGAUGGGAAACGGGUUAAUAUUCCCGUACUUGGUGUUACUGCGA